rnacentral:rRNA from 1 species
ACGCAUAUAUGCUGGAAUGCUUUAUGCGUAAAAUGGAUUCGUCUGCCCAAGGAUGGGUCUGCGGCCUAUCAGGUAGUAGUGGGUGUAAUGUACCUACUAGCCUACAACGGGUACGGGUUGUGAGAGCAAGAGCCCGGAGAUGGAUUCUGAGACAUGAAUCCAGGCCCUACGGGGCGCAGCAGGCGCGAAAACUUUACAAUGCGGGAAACCGUGAUAAGGGGACACCGAGUGCCAGCAUCAUAUGCUGGCUGUCCAGAUGUGUAAAAUACAUCUGUUAGCAAGGGCCGGGCAAGACCGGUGCCAGCCGCCGCGGUAACACCGGCGGCCCGAGUGGUGAUCGUGAUUAUUGGGUCUAAAGGGUCCGUAGCCGGUUUGGUCAGUCCUCCGGGAAAUCUGAUGGCUCAACCAUUAGGCUUUCGGGGGAUACUGCCAGGCUUGGAACCGGGAGAGGUAAGAGGUACUACAGGGGUAGGAGUGAAAUCUUGUAAUCCCUGUGAGACCACCUGUGGCGAAGGCGUCUUACCAGAACGGGUUCGACGGUGAGGGACGAAAGCUGGGGGCACGAACCGGAUUAGAUACCCGGGUAGUCCCAGCCGUAAACGAUGCUCGCUAGGUGUCAGGCAUGGCGCGACCGUGUCUGGUGCCGCAGGGAAGCCGUGAAGCGAGCCACCUGGGAAGUACGGCCGCAAGGCUGAAACUUAAAGGAAUUGGCGGG